rnacentral:rRNA from 1 species
GAUGAACGCUGGCGGCGUGCCUAAUACAUGCAAGUCGAGCGAACGGACGAGAAGCUUGCUUUUCUGAUGUUAGCGGCGGACGGGUGAGUAACACGUGGAUAACCUACCUAUAAGACUGGGAUAACUUCGGGAAACCGGAGCUAAUACCGGAUAAUAUUUUGAACCGCAUGGUUCAAAAGUGAAAGACGGUCUUGCUGUCACUUAUAGAUGGAUCCGCGCUGCAUUAGCUAGUUGGUAAGGUAACGGCUUACCAAGGCAACGAUGCAUAGCCGACCUGAGAGGGUGAUCGGCCACACGGGAACUGAGACACGGUCCAGACUCCUACGGGAGGCAGCAGUAGGGAAUCUUCCGCGAUGGGCGAAAGCCUGACGGAGCAACGCCGCGUGAGUGAUGAAGGUCUUCGGAUCGUAAAACUCUGUUAUUAGGGAAGAACAUAUGUGUAAGUAACUGUGCACAUCUUGACGGUACCUAAUCAGAAAGCCACGGCUAACUACGUG